rnacentral:rRNA from 1 species
AUUGAACGCUGGCGGCAGGCUUAACACAUGCAAGUCGCGCUGUUGAGUCAGCUUGCUACCGCUGCAGCGGCAAACGGGUGUGUAAUACAUGGACGUGCGCAUGGUAGUGGGGGACAACGUCGCGAAAGGGACGCUAAUACCGCACAAGCCCCACGGGGGAGAGGGGGGGAUCUUCGGACCUCGCGAUAUGAGCUGAUCCCAUGGCAGAUUAGCUAGUUGGUAGGAUAAAGGCCUACCAAGGCGACGAUCUGUAACUGGUCUGAGAGGAUGAUCAGUCACACUGGAACUGAGACACGGUCCAGACUCCUACGGGAGGCAGCAGUGGGGAAUAUUGGACAAUGGGCGAAAGCCUGAUCCAGCCAUGCCGCGUGUGUGAAGAAGGCCUUAGGGUUGUAAAGCACUUUCAGUGGGGAGAAAGGUUAUUCACCUAAUACGUGAGUAAAUUGAUGUUACCCACAGAAGAAGCACCGGCUAACUCCGUGCCAGCCGCCGCAGUAA